GAGUUUGAUCUUGGCUCAGGGUGAACGCUGGCGGCGUGCUUAACACAUGCAAGUCGAACGAUGAUAGAAGAGCUUGCUUUUCUUGAUUAGUGGCGCACGGGUGAGUAAUGCAUAGAUAAUGUGCCCCUUAGUUCGGGAUAGCCACUGGAAACGGUGAUUAAUACCGGAUACUCCUUCUUGUUAUAAGACAAGUCGGGAAAGUUUUUCGCUAAGGGAUCAGUCUAUGUUCCAUCAGCUUGUUGGUGAGGUAAUGGCUCACCAAGGCUAUGACGGAUAUCUGGUUUGAGAGGAUGAUCAGACACACUGGAACUGAGACACGGUCCAGACUCCUACGGGAGGCAGCAGUGAGGAAUAUUGCACAACGGAGGAAACUCUGAUGCAGCAACGCCGCGUGGAGGAUGACGCAUUUCGGUGUGUAAACUCCUUUUAUUAGGGAAGAUAAUGACGGUACCUAAUGAAUAAGCACCGGCUAACUCCGUGCCAGCAGCCGCGGUAAUACGGAGGGUGCAAGCGUUACUCGGAAUCACUGGGCGUAAAGGGUGCGUAGGCUGGCUUUUAAGUCAGAUGUGAAAUCCAAUGGCUCAACCAUUGAACUGCAUUUGAAACUGAAAGCCUAGAGUUCAGAAGGGGCAGAUGGAAUUAGUGGUGUAGGGGUAAAAUCCGUAGAUAUCACUAGGAAUAUCAAAAGCGAAGGCGAUCUGCUGGGAUGAUACUGACG
rnacentral:rRNA from 1 species